rnacentral:rRNA from 1 species
AUUGAACGCUGGCGGCAGGCCUAACACAUGCAAGUCGAGCGAGCGGCGGACGGGUGUGUAAUGUCUGGGAAACUGCCCGAUGGAGGGGGAUAACUACUGGAAACGGUAGCUAACACCGCAUACCAUCAGAUGUGCCCAGAUGGGAUUCGCUAGUGGGUGGGGUAAUGGCUCACCCAGGCGACGAUCCCUAGCUGGUUUGAGAGGAUGACCAGCAACACUGGAACUGAGACACGGUCCAGACUCCUACGGGAGGCAGCAGGGGGGAAUAUUGCACAAUGGGCGCAAGCCUGAUGCAGCAAUGCCGCGUGUGUGAAGAAGGCCUUCGGGUUGUAAAGCACUUUCAGCGAGGAGGCGUUACUCGCAGAAGAAGCACCGGCUAACUCCGUGCCAGCCGCCGCGGUAAUUC